UACGGGGGGGGCAAGCGUUGUUCGGAAUUACUGGGCGUAAAGGGCGCGUAGGCGGCCACCGCAAGUCGACUGUGAAAUCUCCGGGCUUAACCCGGAAAGGUCAGCCGAUACUGCGGGGCUAGAGUGCAGAAGGGGCAACUGGAAUUCUCGGUGUAGCGGUGAAAUGCGUAGAUAUCUGGAGGAACACCGGUGGCGAAGGCGGCGUUCUGGACUGUUUCUGACACUGAAAAACGAAAGCCAGGGGAGCAAACGGG
rnacentral:rRNA from 1 species